CAUACUCUUGGCUGAUUACUUUCCCAUGCCAAUUUUUUUUAUUCUUUGUUAAUCUCUUUAUAUCCAAUUUAAAAACAUGAUACAUGAAGAUUUUUUUUUUUACUAGAACCAUGCUCUACCAACUUGAGUGUCUUACCAUAUAAGUCAAAUGAACAGUCCCACUUGCUUGAGGAUCUGUCCAAAUCGGCUCCCCCAUCCCUAAUUAUUACGUGAGUUUUCUUGCAAGUAACAUACAUUUUUUUUAUCCAACACAAGGUAGGAUCUCAAGAAUCAAUAUCUUCAAACCACCACCAAUAACACUCUAUUUCUCCCUCUUCUUUCUCAACAAUCCGGCCACCAGAUUGUUCUUCGGCGACGCCAUUCCGACCAACCACGCUCCCCAAACACGCGAUACCUACCUCCUCCUUGCACCACUAUCACACGAACACCCCUGUAACCCGGAGAGAGAGAAAGAGAGAGAGAAGGCGGCGACGGUUCGGGUAAGAUGACGACGGUGGUAGAAGUUCAACAUUAGCAGCCGCGGUUCGUGACCUUUCUCUCCGGUAAGUGCCUUAAACUCGUCUUCAUCUCCUCCAUCUUCUAGAUCUGUUUAGAUCCGAUUGAUUUCCGGUCAAACACGUUGUCCCAGGUGAGGACGGCGACGUGGCAGCGGAGGUGUUUCGGGUUUAGGUUUGUUCUGGGAUCGGGUUGGGUGGUGACGACUAGAAAAACCAAGCCGAUGCGCGGCGGCACCGGCAGCGACAGUGGUAGUGGUUAUGUUGUUUCGGGUCUUGGGUUGGGUUUACAUGGAACAAAGGCGAUUCCGGUUCACUACUUCAGAACCGUGGCUCGGGUUUUGGUUCAAGUCAGAUUUGGGGCUCAGGUCAACAGGUUAAGAAGUCAUCAUGGAUCAGACUUGGUUUAGUUCGGGUUCACGUCAGAUUUGGUUCGGGUUUCAUGAAAUGGGUCGACUCGGUUCAACUCGGCUCGACCCGGUUGACUCGGUCAACCGGCCGAAGUCAGUCAACAAGUCAAGCUCGGUCAAACCAGUCAAACUGGUCAACUCAGGUCAACCACAGUCAACACCGGGUCAAAGUCAGUCAACGCUGUUCGACGAAACGGCACGAAGAUUCGGAAUGUUGUAGUUGCCGCUAGCUACUUCACGUUCUUGGAAUGACACUACGGAAUCACACUAAGCUAGCUUUGCACAGGAAUAUCCAGGUUGCAUUUUCAAAAAUAUGGAACGGUUGGAAUAGGAGAACCCAUGGGAAUUCGAGUACUUAGCGGCGUUCAUUGUUUAGAAGUCUUAGCCUUUUGCUUCCGCUGUGCAAUGAAGAUACCGGUCCAGUCACGCCAUGCUCUGAUAAUUCGGGGUGUGACAUAGCUAAUAUCCAUAUUUUAGCAACCACUGCUGCUGACCCAAACCUGGAACAAAUACUAGCACCCCAACCACAACCUCAAAUUCCUGACCAACCCAUGGAAAUAGAACACCCUGGAAAUCAAGUAGAAAUGCAUGAUUUCAACCCGGAGGAGAUACCUAGGGUAUCUGCAUCAAAUCCCCUAGACCCAAACAACUACGACCCCUGGUGGGACGAUGUUAGGGACUACGUGCAACAAAACCCAAUACAAGAAAAUGUGCCAAUACCCAACUUAGGAGCUUACCCAGGGUUAGAUCCUCAAGAUCCCUACAACAUUAGUGAUGCAUAUGUUAGGGAGAUUUUAGAGAAUCCAUACCCAUACCAGGCCCCUAUGCCUCCAUAUCCGGAACCCGCACCACAGAUUCCAAACCCAGUCCUAGAACCUGCACCCCCAAUGAGUGCAGAAAAUGUCCAAGAACUUAGGACUUUUGGUGAGGAAAUUUUAGAAAGCAGUGAAAGAAUGCGACAGGUGGGAGAACGCCUCGUAUGGAAGUACGAUGAGCGUAAUAUGGAUUUUUGGAUGAAUCCAUAUCAGUAGAUGUGAUGGCAGGAACGGUAGUAGUAAUAAUAAUAAUAUAAUAUAAUAUAAUAAUAUAUGUGUGUAUGUGUUAGAAAAAAAAACUACGGAUGCCUACUAUUAGUAUUGUAACAUUACAUUUCAGUCGGUAUUGUAAUUUAAAUUUCAGUACUGGUGUGUAAUGAUGCAUACUAUAUAAAUAGAGUAAAAGUCGCAAUGCUCGACGCUUUUGACCAAAAA